rnacentral:lncRNA from 1 species
UAUGAGGGGGGGCAAGGGGGUCCCAAUAACAGCAAAACAGCAAAUUGAUUUGGCUCAUAACAGAUAACAAGGAAUUAAAAUGGACAAAAACAGAUAACAGUAAAUGAAAUAUUAAAAUAAUUCGGUCUUUGACAAAUCAGUAUUUCUUAUUACGGAUAUAAUCCUUUGUAAUGCAUUCCAUUUUUUUAUGACUAUGUUUUUAGUAUUAAUUUAUGUAUCUAGAAUGUGUUUAAAUUACUACUCAAUAUAUUAUAAUAUUUUUUUAUACGCUCGUUUACGGAACGUAUUAUGGUAUACUGUUGUCCGUCUGUUGUCAACAUGUCGGACAUUAACUCAAAAACUCUUUAACCAUUUGCAUUAAACUUUGGGAAAUUGUUUAUAUCUAUUGACGUGAGCUCCCUUUUUGGUUUUUUUUUUUUAUAAAUUUUAGAUUUUAAGUUUCUGGGUAAUGGGUUUUUAUUCAAUAAAAUUGGUGUUUUUUUCAGUUUUCUGAUAAUAUCUCAAAAAUGCUUUCACAAAGCAAGGAAUUUUGGUGAAUUGUUUAUAUCUAUUAACAUGAGGUAACUUUCAAUUUUUAUAAAUUUUAGAUUUUACGUUUCCGAGUUAACGGGUUUUAUUAAUUAAAAAGGGGUGAUUUUCCAGUUUUCAGACAUUAACACAAAAAUGUUUUCAGCAGUUCUCAUGAAACGUUGGUGUAUUGUUUAUAUAUAUUGACUGAAGCUCGCUUUGUUGCUAAUAAAAAAAAAGUGACAUAAAAGAGUUUGAAUAUUCUGACUUUUUCUAAAUGACCAUUUAAUGAGGUGUGUGAAUUUUUCUUAAUAAAACUAUG